AACGUAGGAGACAAACGUUAUCCGGAGUUACUGGGCGUAAAGGGCGUGUAGGCGGUCUGUUAAGUCUGGCGUGAAAGCUCUCGGCUAAACCGGGAGAGGUCGUUGGAUACUGGCAGACUAGAGGACGGUAGAGGCGUGUGGAAUUCCGGGUGUAGUGGUGAAAUGCGUAGAGAUCCGGAGGAACACCAGUGGCGAAGGCGACACGCUGGGCCGUACCUGACACUGAGACACGAAGGCCAGGGGAGCAAACGGG
rnacentral:rRNA from 1 species